AUGUUGUAUCUAAGGGUGCACACUGUUGUUUUAGCAGUCGAUGGAUGUCAUGGCACAUGUGCAAUAUUGAAAACUUCUAGCACCAACCUUUGCAAGAAUGGAGUCAACACGCUGUAGAGAGUUGGCAUCGAGGUAAAGAAUGUGCCCUGCUUGGCUAGGAAUCUGCAGCUUUGUGAUGGUGGUGUUUGAAGAUAUUCGGCAGCAUUUCUACACCGUAAACCUGAUUCAUACAUAGCGGAUCUGGAGCAUUUUAUGGUCUCGAAGCUGACGGUCAGGAAAGACUCUUGAAGGAAAUCAGUUACAGGAGGGAGCAGCUGUACGAUCUGACCUCGCAGGCGGGAACAAUUUACGACAUUCCAGGCAGGGCAGGCAAACAAGUCGCCCGGCUGCGCCAGGAGCUUGCGGCUCAAAUUGAGCCUAGACCCAAUGACAGGAGGUGGAGAAGGGGCGGAGGGGAUGGAGACAGUGGCGCCCAUCGACCAGAAUAGAGGCGGCCACCAGCGGGGAGGAGGCCGCGUUCCUUCAACCAACGUGAGAAAAGUUGCCUUUUCAACUUCCCCUUCCCAACAUCGAUUCCUCCUCCUAUCUUUCUCUCUCUCUCUCUCUCUCUCCAUGGCUGCGGAUGUGUUUUUUUCCUGUCCAAGCCCCUUUCCUCCAGCGUCUUCGUGGCCGCCACUCCCCUCGCCGGGAGAGCUGGUGCUCCUGUUCCAAGUCACGAAGUUUCUGUAGAUGUUGCCCGUAAACGGCGCAGAGAGAGAUCAUGCACAUGUUGCCCGGCAAGGUUUGUGAUAGUAGGCCCGGUUCCACCACCACACGCUCGAUGUCUGUCUCCGCGACGGCGCCAAACGCAAUCUUCAAGUUUGCUACGCUGAGGUGGGUGCUCAGUCCAUAGCAUUUCUCCGGGAGGCCACGUCGUCAGCGUCAAGUCCAGCUGCCCGGUCUGCCAUCGUCAUCUUCUCCUCGGCCGCAGGUUCCUCUGCUCAGUUUCAAAUGUCCUCCUAGGUCCCUGAGAUCGGCCGCCCAAAGCCUGGUCAUCCACGUCUCCGAAUAAGAUAAGCAUGCCCUCCUGUGAAUCUUUCUUUCGAUGUAUGUUUGGUUGAUGUCCAGGGGUUGUGUCAGUGUAUCGACUUUGAAACCUUAAAAUACACCCUUUUUUAGGUUGAUACAGUAAACCUUGGUUGAGCUCAACAUUAGUUGACCUAUACAGCCACGUGAACUGGCAAUGUCUAUUUAUAUUGAUAAGAUACAUGUUUCCUUGCCAGAUUGUUUUAUUGACAUCUUCAGAGAUAAAGUGCAGUUGGUUUUGUUGAAUUUCAUAUUUGCAUCGUUUAAAUGUUUUAACUGGGCAUGCUUUUAUUUACAAGGUUUAUUGCAAUACACCACUGCAAUUUUCUAUGCGGUGAACUAGACUGUUGCUUUUUCUAUUUUAUACAAGGCUGUGGCAGACAUCAGAAAGAUACCACCAGAUUAUGAACUAGAUUACUAUUGUUCGAAUAUCUUGCAGAACUAUUAAUAUACAAUGAACAUCAAAACGGCGCAGUGGAAGAGAGAACCACAUCUGGUGCUUCGACGUUGUGUUUAACGUUAACCAUGAUGAGGCUAUGCAUAUAGAUCAAGCACAGUUGAACGCUAUUUUUCACGCUUUCAUCGCCUCCUCCGGCUCCGCGACGGCGUCGCAGUCGUGAUAGUGUCUCUUCUGAUGACGGCAUGGUUCUUCUGAUCUUCAGACUGGUGGACGAGUCUGCUGUCGGCGGGGCCCCGCUACCUCUGUGUUGUCUUCUCUGGCUCCACGUUGGUGUCAUGGGCUGGAGGACGUUACUUCUGUGUUGGCUGUUUCCUCCGGCGGGGUUAGUUCUUCUGUGAUUGCGCGUGACCACCAGACUGCUUCUUUUCCUUUUGGCCUUGGGCGUGGCUGUCACAUUAUUGGCCAUGGUGGUGUUGCUCAUCCGGUGUCUCCGCAUACUGCAUGGACUGUGCUUCGCUUCUCCUUGGAUGGGUUUGUGUCCGUGUCUUCGCCUCUUCAAGCUGAUGCGUGGAGGAGACCGGGAGAUUUGGUUGGCCAAGCGGCCUGUCCAUCCUGUACCUCAAAAUAUCAUUGACAGUAUUAGAGAUGGCAAUAUUUCGGUCCCCCUGCUCCCGCUGGUUCAUCAUUGCAGCCAUUGUUUCCAGCCGGUUCUUCAGAUCUUGGUGCCUUCCAAAUUCCGGUUUCUUUGUUGUGUACUUCUUUUUAGGAGAUGUCCUGUAAAAUGAGGAAGUGUCAUUUAGUAUGUAUCCUAAGGGUUAAAAAAUGAAUUAGUUGUGCGUUUCUUUUUAGAGACUUCCCCGUGACACAAAGAAUUGAUAUCGAAUAUGUAUCUUAAUGUUUGAAAAUACAAGCCGCUUAUUUGUUCUUCA